UCUGACGAUGGUUUCGGAGGCCAUUCCGCUUGCUGUGGAAAAUCGAUGCGGUGACUGGCGGACGGGUGAAGCUUUGCCGUUUAACCUACCUUAUACUAUCGGAUAACAGCGGUAAAUGACGGCUAAUACCGCAUAAACCGAUAGGGUCGCAUGACGCAAACGGCGCGUCUCCGGCGGGUUAGCAUGGACGCUCGUCUGAUUAGCCGGUUGGUGCUGAAAGGGCUACCGAAGCGAUGAGCACGACCCGACUGGGUAGGGUGAGCGGCCAGAGUGGGACUGAAACCCGGCCCAAACUCUAACGGGAGGCAGCAGUGGGGAAUAUUGCACAAUGGGGGAAACCCUGAUGCAGCGACGCCGCGUGAGUGAAGAAGUAUUUCGGUAUGUAAAGCUCUAUCAGCAGGGAAGAAAUUGACGGUACCUGACUAAGAAGCCCCGGCUAACUACGUGCCAGCAGCCGCGGUAAUACGUAGGGGGCAAGCGUUAUCCGGAUUUACUGGGUGUAAAGGGAGCGUAGACGGCAUGGCAAGUCAGAUGUGAAAACCCGGGGCUUAACCCCGGGAUUGCAUUUGAAACUGUCAGGCUGGA
rnacentral:rRNA from 1 species